rnacentral:rRNA from 1 species
GUGUCAGCAGCCGCGGUAAUACGAAGGGGGCAAGCGUUGUUCGGAAUCACUGGGCGUAAAGCGCACGCAGGCGGAUUGAUGAGUCGGGGGUGAAAUCCCGGGGCUUAACCUCGGAACUGCCUUCGAUACUGUCAGUCUUGAGUCCGGGAGAGGUGAGUGGAAUUCCUAGUGUAGAGGUGAAAUUCGUAGAUAUUAGGAAGAACACCAGUGGCGAAGGCGGCUCACUGGCCCGGUACUGACGCUCAGGUGCGAAAGCGUGGGGAGCAAACAGGAUUAGAAACCCUCGUAGUCC